UCGAGAGGCUUUGGCAAUGGGGGAAACCCUGACCAAGCGACGCCGCGUGGAGGAUGAAGGCCCUUGGGUUGUAAACUCCUUUUGCAGGGGAAGAAAUGCGAUCAGGUGAAUAAUCUGGUCGUUUGACGGUACCCUGCGAAUAAGCUCCGGCUAACUCUGUGCCAGCAGCCGCGGUAAUACAGAGGGUGCGAGCGUUAAUCGGAAUUACUGGGCGUAAAGCGCGCGUAGGCGGCUUUGCAAGUCGGAUGUGAAAUCCCCAGGCUUAACCUGGGAACUGCAUUCGAGACUGCAUUGCUAGAGUAUGGGAGAGGGAAGUGGAAUUUCCGGUGUAGCGGUGAAAUGCGUAGAUAUCGGAAGGAACAUCAGUGGCGAAAGCGACUUCCUGGACCAAUACUGACGCUCAUGUGCGAAAGCGUGGGGAGCAAA
rnacentral:rRNA from 1 species